GCGGGAGCACGCGGUGAGGCCGGGGAUAGGGCGGUGUGUGCCGGGCUCUUUGUGUGAGUGAAGGGGUGACACGGCCGAGCACUGGCACCCACGGCCGGUGCCUCCCGGGCAGCGAGACCCUUUCCCAGCCGCGGGUCAGGAGCACGCGUGACCCCCCUAGGCCUGCUCCCCUGGCCUGUGGGGAUGGGGCCGUCCCUGGGGCAGAGGCAGGCGCAGGGGGGGGACCCGCCGAGGCUCCCCAGCCGGUCUGGGCUCCUCGGCCGGUAGAGCCGGUUUGGAGGAGCUGCGGGCCCGGGGAGGCUCCCGAUCCUCCCGCCCGGCCUGAUGGCAGCUCCCCGGGGCACACAGCACCCACGGGGAGCUGGCGGGGGGAGCCUGGGAGUGACCCAUGCACAUGGCGCAGACCGGCAGGAGGUGUGGGGACAGAAGCCCAUGGAGCUGGGAGAGGGAUGGACCAGAAAUUGCGGCUCCCCCUUUUCAAUCUUUCCUCUCAUCUUUGCCGCGGCUGCGUGUGGGAGGCCUGACGGGGAGCAGCGCUGGUUUCAUCAGCGGGAAAUGAGGGUGAGGACUGAGCUUGAGUGGUGCCAUGUGCCCCAGCAGGGACAUCCCUGCCCCAGCACAGCCCUGACCUGUUGCAUGCAAGCUCCCCCAGACCCACACACUGUCUGCGUGUACUGCUCACACCCAGCCAGACACACGCACACAGCUGGACACACUGACAUCCCCCAGGCUUCUUCACCUGGGGCCUGCCCCUCCCACAUGCACCCCACAGCCCUGAUCCUUCAUCCCCACGCCAUUUUUGGGUAAUAAAAUUACUAUUUGA